AGUGAACGCUGGCGGUAGGCCUAACACAUGCAAGUCGAACGGCAGCACAGUAAGAGCUUGCUCUUACGGGUGGCGAGUGGCGGACGGGUGAGGAAUACAUCGGAAUCUACUUUUUCGUGGGGGAUAACGUAGGGAAACUUACGCUAAUACCGCAUACGACCUACGGGUGAAAGCAGGGGAUCUUCGGACCUUGCGCGAUUGAAUGAGCCGAUGUCGGAUUAGCUAGUUGGCGGGGUAAAGGCCCACCAAGGCGACGAUCCGUAGCUGGUCGGAGAGGAUGAUCAGCCACACUGGAACUGAGAAACGGUCCAGACUCCUACGGGAGGCAGCAGUGGGGAAUAUUGGACAAUGGGCGCAAGCCUGAUCCAGCCAUACCGCGUGGGUGAAGAAGGCCUUCGGGUUGUAAAGCCCUUUUGUUGGGAAAGAAAAGCAGCAGGUUAAUACCCCGCUGUUCUGACGGUACCCAAAGAAUAAGCACCGGCUAACUUCGU
rnacentral:rRNA from 1 species